rnacentral:rRNA from 1 species
UACGUAGGGACCAAGCGUUGUUCGGAUUUACUGGGCGUAAAGGGCGCGUAGGCGGCGUGACAAGUCACUUGUGAAAUCUCUGGGCUUAACCCAGACCGGCCAAGUGAAACUGUUGUGCUAGAGUGCAGAAGGGGCAAUCGGAAUUCUCGGUGUAGCGGUGAAAUGCGUAGAUAUCGAGAGGAACACCAGAGGUGAAGACGGGUUGCUGGGCUGACACUGACGCUGAGGCGCGAAAGCCAGGGGAGCAAACGGG